UGGGGAAUAUUGCACAAUGGGCGCAAGCCUGAUGCAGCAAUGCCGCGUGUGUGAAGAAGGCCUUCGGGUUGUAAAUCUCUUUCAUCAAUGAUGAUAAUGACAUUAGUUGAAGAAGAAACCCCGGCUAACUCCGUGCCAGCAGCCGCGGUAAUACGGAGGGGGUUAGCGUUGUUCGGAAUUACUGGGCGUAAAGCGUACGUAGGCGGAUUAGUCAGUCAGAGGUGAAAUCCCAGGGCUCAACCCUGGAACUGCCUUUGAUACUGCUAGUCUUGAGUUCGAGAGAGGUGAGUGGAAUUCCAAGUGUAGAGGUGAAAUUCGUAGAUAUUUGGAGGAACACCAGUGGCGAAGGCGGCUCACUGGCUCGAUACUGACGCUGAGGUACGAAAGUGUGGGGAGCAAACA
rnacentral:rRNA from 1 species